ensembl:snRNA U6 U6 spliceosomal RNA
UUGCUACGGCUGCACAUAUACUAAAAUUGGAUCAAUACAGAGAAGAUUUGCAUGGCCCCAGGGAAAGGAUGAAACGCAAUCCCUUGAAGCGCUCUAUACUUUU